rnacentral:rRNA from 1 species
UACAGAGGGUGCAAGCGUUAAUCGGAAUCACUGGGCGUAAAGGGCACGUAGGUUGUUGAUUAAGUGUAAUGUGAAAGCCCCGGGCUCAACCUGGGAACUGCAUUCCAAACUGAUCGGCUAGAGUAUAGUAGAGGGGAGUGGAAUUCCACGUGUAGCGGUGAAAUGCGUAGAUAUGUGGAGGAACAUCAGUGGCGAAGGCG